rnacentral:rRNA from 1 species
GACGAACGCUGGCGGCGUGCUUAACACAUGCAAGUCGAACGGAAAGGCCCUGCUUUUGUGGGGUGCUCGAGUGGCGAACGGGUGAGUAACACGUGAGUAACCUGCCCUUGACUUUGGGAUAACUUCAGGAAACUGGGGCUAAUACCGGAUAGGAGCUCCUGCUGCAUGGUGGGGGUUGGAAAGUUUCGGCGGUUGGGGAUGGACUCGCGGCUUAUCAGCUUGUUGGUGGGGUAGUGGCUUACCAAGGCUUUGACGGGUAGCCGGCCUGAGAGGGUGACCGGCCACAUUGGGACUGAGAUACGGCCCAGACUCCUACGGGAGGCAGAAGUGGGGAAUAUUGCACAAUGGGCGGAAGCCUGAUGCAGCAACGCCGCGUGCGGGAUGACGGCCUUCGGGUUGUAAACCGCUUCCGCCUGUGACGAAGCGUGAGUGACGGUAAUGGGUAAAGAAGCACCGGCUAACUACGUG